rnacentral:misc_RNA from 1 species
UUAAUAAAAAUCGGCGUGUUGCUCUUUUGUGACGUUCCGGAGUUUGGGUCAUCUUAUAACAACUCCCUUUCAGGGUAUUUUUAAGAGGCUUAAAAUUGACCUUUUUUUGUGCAUUUUUAGACGUACAUAAAUUUUUUUUUAUUCGUUUAUCUUAAUGCCAAAUCUAUUAGAUGCGACCAUAUCGUGUGGUUUCGUGUCUAUAAAUUUUUCAUG